AACGAACGCUGGCGGCAUGCCUAACACAAGCAAGUCGAACGAGACCUUCGGGUCUAGUGGCGCACGGGCGCGUAACGCGUGGGAAUCUACCCUUGGGUUCGGAAUAACAGUUAGAAAUGACUGCUAAUACCGGAUGAUGACGUAAGUCCAAAGAUUUAUCGCCCAAGGAUGAGCCCGCGUAAGAUUAGCUUGUUGGUGGGGUAAUGGCCUACCAAGGCGACGAUCUUUAGCUGGUCUGAGAGGAUGAUCAGCCACACUGGGACUGAGACACGGCCCAGACUCCUACGGGAGGCAGCAGUGGGGAAUAUUGGACAAUGGGCGAAAGCCUGAUCCAGCAAUGCCGCGUGAGUGAUGAAGGCCUUAGGGUUGUAAAGCUCUUUUACCAGGGAUGAUAAUGACAGUACCUGGAGUAUAAGCUCCGGCUAACUCCGUGCCAGCCGCCGCUGUAA
rnacentral:rRNA from 1 species